AGAUGUUGUUGGACUACAACUCCCAUCUUCCCUGACCACUGGUCAUGCUGGCUAGGAGUGAUGGGAGUUGUAGUCCAACAACAUCU